CCUACGGGAGGCAGCAGUAAGGAAUAUUGGACAAUGCCCGCAAGGGUGAUCCAGCCAUGCCGCGUGCAGGAAGAAGGCCCUAUGGGUCGUAAACUGCUUUUACACCGGAGAAAACCUCCCUUCGUGAAGGGAGCUGAUAGUAUGGUGAGAAUAAGCAUCGGCUAACUUCGUGCCAGCAGCCGCGGUAAGACGAAGGAUGCAAGCGUUAUCCGGAUUCAUUGGGUUUAAAGGGAGCGUAGGUGGACUGAUAAGUCAGUGGUGAAAUCUUCGAGCUUAACUCGGAAAUUGCCAUUGAUACUGUUAGUCUUGAGUACAGUUGCUGUGGGCGGAAUAUGACAUGUAGUGGUGAAAUACAUAGAGAUGUCAUAGAACACCGAUUGCGAAGGCAGCUCACAAAGCUGUAACUGACACUGAGGCUCGAAAGUGCGGGGAUCAAACAGGAUUAGAUACCCUGGUAGUCCGCACUGUAAACGAUGAUUACUCGCUGCUAGAGGGCAACUUUUAGUGGCUUAGCGAAAGCGAAUAAGUAAUUCACCUGGGGAGUUAGCCGGNACGGUUGAAACUUCAAAGGAAUUGACGGCGNGAGAGNGCGACGGACGACGACGAGGAGAGG
rnacentral:rRNA from 1 species